ACUACAUUUUCCAGACUGCAUCAGCAUCCGUCCCUGUCCCUAAACUACAUUUUCCAAACUGCAUCAGCAUCAGUCCCUGCCCUAAACUACAUUUCCCAGACUUCAUCAGUCCCUGCCCUAAACUACAUUUCCCAGACUGCAUCAUCAGUCCCUACCCUAAACUACAUUUCCCAGACUGCAUCAGCAUCAGUCCCUGCCCUAAUCUACAUUUUCCAGACUGCAUCAGCAUCAGUCCUUGCCCUAAACUACAUUUUCCAGACUGCAUCACUCCCUGCCCUAAACUACAUUUUCCAGACUGCAUCACUCCCUGCCCUAAACUACAUUUUCCAGACUACAUCAGUCCCUGCCCUAAACUACAUUUCCCAGACUGCAUCAGCAUCAGUCCCUACCCCUAAACUACAUUUCCCAGACUGCAUCAGCAUCAGUCCCGGCCCUAUACAUUUCCUAGACUGCAUCAGUGUCAGUCCCUGCCCUAAACUACAUUUUCCAGACUGCAUCAGUGUCCGUCCCUGCCCUAAACUAUAUUUUCCAGAGUGCAUCAGCGUCAGUCCCUGCCCUAAACUACAUUUUCCAGAGUGCAUCCGUGUCAGUCCCUGCCCUAAACUACAUUUUCCAGACUGCAUCAGCGUCAGUCCCUGCCCUAAAUUACAUUUUCCAGACUGCACCAGGAUAGCAGGGAGAGAGGUCUGACCUUCCAUAAAACUUUGAAAAUUCGCCAAAAAUUAGUAGAUAAGUGAAAUAUUCUGGAAUUUGGUGAACUAACAGUGACAAAUAUCUUCUACCAUUGUAGCAAGUUUCACCCCAAUAGCUAGAAAAAUGAGGGAGUUAGGAGCCCUUGAAGUAUGAGGUAUGGAGAACAAAACAUAUGAGGUGAAGUUCACCUGUUGAUCUUGGUGAAGAGAAGAUUGAGGGGUGACAUGAUCACACUCUUUAAAUAUCUCAUGAGCUGCCACAAAGUGACAUAUAGAAUUGGAUCUAACAGCUUAAAAUUGCAGGAGAGAGGGAUUUUGAUUGAACAUUCAAAGUAAGUUCUUGACAGUGAAAGUAGUUUGACAUUGGAGUCAAUUGCUUAGAGAGGUGGGAUCUCCAUUGGAUGAGAGCUACCCGAUUCAGUCUGAUGCUUAAGUAUUUGAUGUAUAAUUCUUCAAAGAUCUAGAUCAGCUUCAGUCUGUUUCCAUUUCUCGAGCAAUCUUUAAACAAUCAGUCAAACAAACCUCAAAUACUUUCCCAUCACAAAUAUUAUGAGAUAUGCCAGUUUCUGUAAUUUCAUAUCAAGAAUGAACUGAACCAAAUUCUCAGCAAUUUCCAGGUCAAAGAUGUACACACAAAAACACAUAUUAAAUCAUAUUUAAGUGAUUCUGUCUAGAUCAAAACACAGAUGGAAUGGCUUUUUAGGGACUGAAAUGAGUAAAGAAUUGACAUCUCCACACUGUGAUAAAAACCUAAAUAGCUCUGCAUUCUCGAGCAAAAUAAUCAGUUCUGAAUCGAUCAGAAAAUUAAGUCUUAUACUUUCCAGAUUUUCAGUAUUAUUAGAAUAAUCUGUUCUAUUUUUUUUAUUGAAUCAGUCUAUUUUUUUCCAUGUUGUUGUUUUAUAGUUCUAUGGACAUGGACACCAGUCUUGUUGUUAUUCUUAUUGUUGUUGUUUUAGUUGUAGCUGUUAUUUUCAUUCGUUUUGGGCUAACUUCUUUUUGCUCCAUUGGGAGGGCAAUUUGGAGCUCGCCUGCCAUUUUUCUGUUCCCUGCACUGCACCUGACACUUUUACACCUCAUUUGUGCAAACAGAUUCUUCCCCGAGGGCUGCUUUUUAAAUAUUCAGGGCUGCUAGUCAUAUCUUUACUUAAUAUAUGGGAUUUGACAUUUACACUGCACUGCACACAUCCUUGGCUUCUCACCUGGAUUUGUCAUGUAGUAUCUUAUUGGCUGUGUGUCAUUAUUGUUGCUCUCUGUCUAGAUCAACAAUAUACUAAAGGAUAUAUUACAGGGAUGGACUAAAGCAUGCUAGUAUUUCCUUAGGCUGAGCAAAGCAGAGCAAUACAUGUAUUUGUAUCUACUUUUCAAAGAAAAUGAGGAGACACUCCAUUGGUUAAGAGUAGCGUAAAGUUUCCUCUUUAGAUAAUUUUGCAAUAGGCACAUUCCUUGAAGGCUGGCUCAAACCAUGAACAAAAUGUGAAGUGAGAAAGCAAUACAUAAGGCUGAUAUAUAUAUAUAUAUAUAUAUAUAUAUAUAUAUAUAUAGAUGUGGGCGCAGUG
rnacentral:lncRNA from 1 species